rnacentral:rRNA from 1 species
GAAUGCAGCCAGGUGCGAUAAGUAGCGUAAAUUGCAAAAUUCAGUGAAUCAUCGAAUCUUU